CGGCUCUUAAGACGCAAGUCUGCUGAUGCUCCCGGCUGAAUAAACCUCUUCCUUCUUUAAUUCGGUGUCUGAGGAGUUUUGUCUGCGGCUCAUCCUGCUACAUCAAGGUACAAGAAAGAGAAUUUCCUGUGCUACAUCAAGGUACAAGAAAGAGAAUUUCCUUUGCAAUCCCUUGGUGGUGGUGGUGGCAGCAGUGUGUGUAUGGAGCUCAUUGAUGGAAUUACAAAUAUGUUCCCAGUGUUUUUGUUGUCUUAUCAGAAGGGUUGAUCAGGAUAUGUAACCUACUGCAAAAGACAGAAUAAUGGCCCCCCCGAAAGAUAUCCAUGUUCCAGACUACGUCACAGUCUGGAACCUGUCAAUGUGUUACCUUUCACUGCAAAAGAGACUUUGAAGAUGUGAUCCAGGGAGAUUGUCCUGGAUCAUCUGAGUGAAUCUAAUCAUAUGAGUCCUGAAAAGUGGAGACCCCUUCCCAGCUGUAACCCGAGGGAGACAGCUGUGACUUUGGAAGAGGGGCCAGAGAGAUGCCACUAUGCUGGCUUUGAAGAUGGAGCAUGGCGCCAUGAUUCAACAGAUGCAGCAGCUUCUAGAAGCCGGAAAAGGGAAGGCAAUGGUUUCCCCCUGGGGCCUCCAGGAAGGAACGUAACUCUGCUGACACCUCCAUUUCAG
rnacentral:lncRNA from 1 species